GCCGAAGUGGCUCAACUUGGUAGAGCAGCUGACUUGUAAUCAGCGGGUUGGGGGUUCGAGUCCCUUCUUCGGCUCCA
rnacentral:tRNA from 1 species